rnacentral:rRNA from 1 species
AUGAGGUGCAAUGGCGACGAGCGGCUGCUGCUGGGGGUCUACGUCGACGACCUCGUCGUCACUGGCUCGAGCUUGGAGGCCAUCGCGCAGUUCAAACAUCAGAUGCAGUCCGUCUUCUCCAUGAGCGACCUCGGUCUGCUGAGCUACUACCUCGGGAUCGAGGUACACCAAGGAGACGACGUGAUCACCCUCAAGCAGGCAAGCUACGCGGCCAAGAUCGUGGACAAGGCCGGACUUAAAGGGUGCAAUCCAGUACACGUCCCAAUGGAGCCGCGCCUGAAGUUGAGCAAAGAAAGCACGAGCCCGCCAGUGGACAGAAAGCUCUACCGCAGCAUCGUCGGCAGCCUCCGCUACCUGGUGCACUCGCGACCGGACAUCUCAUUUGCGGUUGCCUUUGUCAGCAGGUUCAUGGAGGCGCCCACAACAGAGCACUGGGCGGCGGUGAAGCAGCUACUGAGGUAUGUUGCAGGCACCCUGAAUUAUGGCUGCAGAUACAAGAAAGGUGAGCCGAAGCCGCAGCUGGUUGGUUACAGUGAUGCGGACUUCGCCGGCGAUGUUGAUGACAGGAAGAGCACCUCAGGGAUGGUGUUUGUGUUCGGCAAGAGUGUGAUCAGCUGGCAGUCCCAGAAGUAG